rnacentral:rRNA from 1 species
GGGGUGCCCGCGAGGGAGCCCUAGCACAGGUGCUGCAUGGCCGUCGUCAGCUCGUGCCGUGAGGUGUUGGGUUAAGUCCCGCAACGAGCGCAACCCCGCCGUUAGUUGCCAGCGGUUCGGCCGGGCACUCUAACGGGACUGCCGCGAAAGCGGGAGGAAGGAGGGGACGACGUCUGGUCAGCAUGGCCCUUACGGCCUGGGCGACACACGUGCUACAAUGCCCACUACAAAGCGAGGCCACCCGGCAACGGGGAGCUAAUCGCAAAAAGGUGGGCCCAGUUCGGAUUGGGGUCUGCAACCCGACCCCAUGAAGCCGGAAUCGCUAGUAAUCGCGGAUCAGCCAUGCCGCGGUGAAUACGUUCCCGGGCCUU